rnacentral:lncRNA from 1 species
GCUACAGUUUGGUUUACUUUUACAGCUGGUUUACUAAUUGAAAUUAAUCGUUUCUUCCCAGAUCCUCUUGUUUUUUCUUUUUAAUUUGACCUAAUAACGUCAAAUGGUGUAUGUUACAACUAUCCGGCCUUUGGCCGGAUAGGAAAGCCUAUUGUCUACGAACCCGCAAAGACUUGUGGAACAUUUAUAUUGUUGUUUAACUACUAUGAGAGCUUCGUCCCCCCCAAGCCACAAGACUUUGUGGAAUGUCAUUAACGUAGUUAAGCUACUGGUUUAGCUACAAUCUAGUUGUUUCCCGGAAGGAGAACCUAAAGUAGGUCUGCAAUCCCAGAGGGAAGUACCCAGUAGCUUUAAGCCUAGUUGCAAAUGGAAACUAGGCUUACUACGUUAGGUUGCAAAUGAACAUAUUUAAGCCUAGUUCCCCUUGGGUAAACAGCUAGAGUUAAACAACAUUAAACUACCGUACGCCAAAAGUCGUUAGUCUUGUGGCUGUGGUUUUUUGCGUGUAGCUUUUCUUCCCCUUUAGUGUUCUUCUUCUUCCCCUAAAGGGGAACUAAAGUUCCCCUUUAGGGGAUGAACUAAAGUUCCCCUUUAGGGGAUGAACUAAAGUUCCCCUUUAGGGGAUGAACUAAAGUUCCCCUUUAGGGGAAGAACCCCAAAGUCAUCGUCCCCUUUAGUUUAUCCCCUUUAGGGGAACUAAAGUUCCCCCUUUAGGGGAAGAAGAAGAGCACUAAAGUGUUCUUCCCCUAAAGGGGAACCCCUUUAGUUCCCCUAAAGGGUAUGAACUCCCCUAGGGGAAGAAGGGGGUUCUUCCCCUAAAGGGUAACUUUAGUUCAUCCCCUUUAGGGGAACUAAAGGGGAAGAAGUCCCCUUUAGGGGAAGAAGAAGUUCCCCUUUAGGGGAAGACUUUGGUUCCCCUUUAGGGGAUGAAGAACUAAAGGGGAACCCCCUUCGUCCCCCCCUUGUCUUCAUCCCCUUUAGUGUUCCCCAAAGGGGAGACGAAGGGGUGUUCCCCUUCUUCAUCCCCUUUAGGGGAACUAAAGGGGACGGAGUCCCCUAAAGGGGAAGAAGGGGUUCCCCUUCGGGGAUGAACUAAAGGGGAAGAAGGUACGACAAGGAAGGAAACCGCUUACGUAGUAGGACUUUGGUCAAAGCCUAGUUGGACUGACAAGACCUCCGGCCGAAACUACAAUACGAGUCUAAGACCCUGUAGGCCUCCGGCCCAAAGACUAGUUGUGGUCCCCUUCGGUAACCCGGAGGGGAUUAAAAACUACAACUCAAGAUGCUUUUGCCAUAGCUGCAGGCCGUACAAUACGCUGUAACAUUAUUGGGCUUCGCCCUGUUUCGUAAAAGGCAUAAAACUUUGGGGGCUUGUCGUUUAACUCCGACUUUCACAACGGCCGAAGGUUUUUAUAACUUAACGACGUUAUACGACCAUCCGGCCUAGGUUAAAAAAUCACAGCGCAAGCUCUGCGCAUUUGCCCAGGGGAAGGGAGACAUUCAUCCCCUAAAGGGGAACCGNNN